rnacentral:rRNA from 1 species
UAACGCGUGGAUAACCUGCCUUGCACUGGGGAUAACACUUAGAAAUAGGUGCUAAUACCGCAUAAGCGCACAGAGCCGCAUGGCUCAGUGUGAAAAACUCCGGUGGUGUAAGAUGGAUCCGCGUCUGAUUAGCUGGUUGGCGGGGUAGAAGCCCACCAAGGCGACGAUCAGUAGCCGGCCUGAGAGGGUGAACGGCCACAUUGGGACUGAGACACGGCCCAAACUCCUACGGAAGGCAGCAG